UUUAUUUAACAAAAGCUCCAAAUGGGCUCUUACGUUCAGAAUUAUUUCAUAAAACUUCCAGCGUACGUUACCCCGCGUUCUCCCCUCCCCCACUUCGUCUGUCGGUCAUCUCCGCCCACCACCACUGUUCGGCUCCAUCUCAGUUACAGCUACCGCUGUCGUCGCCGUCUCGACUCCAGCAUCGCCAUACACAGCCUCGGUGAGCCUCUGAGAAUCUGCAAGAAUUAUCUUGAAAAAAUCUGGAGCUUUCACCACAACUCCUGGACUUUGAUCGUCUCUCUGGCCUUGAGAAGCCAUAGUUAAACCUGAAGAUUUCCAAAGUAAGGAUCAGAAUAAGUGUAAAAACAGCUUAUAUUAACAGUGCCUGCAUGCUGGGUGGUUGUGCUCAAUAAAGUCUCUGUACAGAGCAACCCACGUGGUGCUUGGGAGGCCCGCCGACCCUGCAAACAAGAUAUACCCUGCAUUGCCCAGGAGAUUCAUCUGGCCUCUGCCAUCUCCACUGUAAUUUUGGCAUUGCUUGGAGAUUUUGGCAAUCUCUUGAACAGACCUUGGUUUGGCACGUUGUAGAGCAAACACCGUUACAAAUACAACAUGCCCAAACAGAAGAAAGCCACAACUACCAACAAUUGCAAGCAUCGUAGCUCCGUCCCCAAAUUUCAGUGUAAAUGUCGUCCCCACCAUACCUCAGCCACCACAGGUCCAAAGAGGCGCUCGUACCAGCGUUACCACUUACGGUCAUCCUCUUGUGUUCCCCAUCGGCAGCCAUACUUUCUACGCUCAUCCUGCAGCUCCUCAUACAAGGUAUUAAAACAUUAUC